rnacentral:rRNA from 1 species
GCAUAUCAAUAAGCGGAGGAAAAGAAACUAACAAGGAUUCCCCUAGUAACUGCGAGUGAAGCGGGAAAAGCUCAAAUUUGUAAUCCUUCGGGAAUUGUAAUCUAGAGAAGUGUUUUCGGUCGUUGCCUCGGACAAGUCCCUUGGAACAGGGCGUCAUAGAGGGUGAGAAUCCCGUCCUUGCCGAGCUCCCAACGUCUAUGUGAUACACUUUCAAAAGUCGAGUUGUUUGGGAAUGCAGCUCAAAAUGGGUGGUAAACUCCAUCUAAAGCUAAAUAUUGGCGAGAGACCGAUAGCGAACAAGUACCGUGAGGGAAAGAUGAAAAGCACUUUGGACAGAGAGUUAAACAGUACGUGAAAUUGUUGAAAGGGAAGCGCUUGAAGUCAGUCGCGUUGCAUAGGACUCAGCCUCACGGCGCAUUUCCUUGCAACGGGUCAACAUCAAUUUCGACCGCGGGAAAAGGACUUGAGGAAUGUGGCAGUCUCGGCUGUGUUAUAGCCUUUUGUCGUACACCGCGGUUGGGAUUGAGGUCUGCUACAGGAGAGUCGAGUUGUUUGGGAAUGCAGCUCAAAAUGGGUGGUAAACUCCAUCUAAAGCUAAAUAUUGGCGAGAGACCGAUAGCGAACAAGUACCGUGAGGGAAAGAUGAAAAGCACUUUGGACAGAGAGUUAAACAGUACGUGAAAUUGUUGAAAGGGAAGCGCUUGAAGUCAGUCGCGUUGCAUAGGACUCAGCCUCACGGCGCAUUUCCUUGCAACGGGUCAACAUCAAUUUCGACCGCGGGAAAAGGACUUGAGGAAUGUGGCAGUCUCGGCUGUGUUAUAGCCUUUUGUCGUACACCGCGGUUGGGAUUGAGGUCUGCUACAGGA